rnacentral:rRNA from 1 species
AUUGAACGCUGGCGGCAUGCCUUACACAUGCAAGUCGAACGGUAACGGGCCUUCGGGUGCCGACGAGUGGCGAACGGGUGAGUAAUACAUCGGAACGUGCCCGAUCGUGGGGGAUAACGAGGCGAAAGCUUUGCUAAUACCGCAUACGAUCUACGGAUGAAAGCAGGGGACCGAAAGGCCUUGCGCGGACGGAGCGGCCGAUGGCAGAUUAGGUAGUUGGUGGGAUAAAAGCUUACCAAGCCGACGAUCUGUAGCUGGUCUGAGAGGAUGAUCAGCCACACUGGGACUGAGACACGGCCCAGACUCCUACGGGAGGCAGCAGUGGGGAAUUUUGGACAAUGGGCGCAAGCCUGAUCCAGCCAUGCCGCGUGCAGGAUGAAGGCCUUCGGGUUGUAAACUGCUUUUGUACGGAACGAAAAGCCUUCUUUUAAUACAGGAGGGUCAUGACGGUACCGUAAGAAUAAGCACCGGCUAACUACGUG